rnacentral:rRNA from 1 species
GAUGAACGCUGGCGGCGUGCCUAACACAUGCAAGUCGAACGGAGUUGUCACCAUGAAGUUUUCGGAUGGAAUGGAGGCAACUUAGUGGCGGACGGGUGAGUAACGCGUGGGUAACCUGCCUCAUACUGGGGGAUAACAGCUGGAAACGGCUGCUAAAACCGCAUAAGAUCGCAUCACCGCAUGGUGAGGCGGUUAAAUAUCGAAAGAUAGGUAUGAGAUGGGCCCGCGUCUGAUUAGCUAGUUGGUGAGAUAAGAGCCCACCAAGGCGACGAUCAGUAGCCGGCUUGAGAGAGUGACCGGCCACAUUGGGACUGAGACACGGCCCAAACUCCUACGGGAGCAGCAGUGGGGAAUAUUGCACAAUGGGGGAAACCCUGAUGCAGCGACGCCGCGUGAGUGAAGAAGUGCUUCGGCAUGUAAAGCUCUAUCAGCAGGGAAGAAGAUGACGGUACCUGACUAAGAAGCCCCGGCUAACU